GCCAGAGCCAUGAAAAGGCAGAGGAACGAGAGACCAAAUUGCCAAUAUCUGCUGGAUAAUGGAGGAAGGUUGAUUCUUUUGAACCACCAAUAGGGCAGCAAAAAUUUUAGAGUCUGAAACAGAGGACACAGGUUUGGAUACAGACUUGUUCUUGUCAGUGGAAACAUCGCUUGAAUAAGGUUUUGAUAAGUAGCAUUCCAACUUAUGAAAAAGGCAGCAAAUCUACCCUGACCAGGAAGAUGGGAAAAUUAAAGUUCCUGGUUGCAUGAAGAAUUUUUCAUAUAAAGGAGGCUUCAAAAAGUCAAGUUUCAUGUGAAAAGGGCUACAUAGGUAAUGAACGAGACUGUUGGGCCAGGGCACCCCUCUCCUUAGGCAGUCAUCUCACCUGUUUAAUAAAAUGCCUGAACAGAGCUCCCCUUGUUAUAUUGUUAGUAGAAUCAUGGGAAGUUGUCUUAUACUGACGAUUUCAUCAUAUGGGACUAGAUUUGGUGGCAAACACCAAAUCUAGCCCCAGUCACCCAUGGAGCCGGCUGGCUCCCAUCAAACAAUGUCGUACCGGCUCCGUAGGUGCAGCAGGCAGAACCAGUGUGCCGCCGCCACCCUGGCAACAUGGGAGAUUUCCUUUGUUGCUCAAUCUAUGGAGGGAAGCUGGGGGGUCCAUACUUGCCCCCAUUUGAUUGCCCUCCUGAUGAGGCGGGGCGCUGAAUUCCCCCACGCCUCGUGGCAAAGUGGACCUCCACCUCCUUCUGCACCAGCCAUAUGAAGAGAUGGCUCAUCUGAACUCACGCCUCUCAGUAUUGUCUACAUGACUUGGCAGUGGCUCUCCAGACUCUGACAGAAGUAUUUUUCAGUCCUGUGUUGAGAUGUCAAACAUAUCCUCCACCAAAAAAAAACAUAGAAUCAUAAAUAAUAGAGUUGGAAGAGACCACAUGGGCUAUCUAGUCCAACCCCCUGCCAUGCAGGAAAAGCACAAAGUAACCCUGAUAGAUGGCCAUCUAGGCUCUGUUUAAAAGCUUCCAAGGAAGGAGUUUCCACCAGACUACGAGGCAAAGAAGUUCACUGUUGAACAGCUCUUACAGUCAGGAAGUUUUUCCUAAUGUUAAGGUGGAAUCUCCUUUCAUAUACUUUCAACCCAUUGCUCCAAGUCCUAGUUUCCAGGGCAGCAGAAAACAAGCCUGCUCCUCUUCCUUAGGACAUGCUUUCAAAUAUUUAUACAUGAUCCCCAUAGAGUUAAUGGUAACACAGGAAGUCUCCUGUGCUGCCACGCUGGCAGUGUGCCAGUUCUACCCUCCUUUAGCCAUGGAGCAGGUGUAAUGUCAUCUGAUGGGAGCCAGCUGGCUCCAUGGGUGACUGGGGCUAGAUCGGCGUAUGCUACCAAUUUUAGCCCCCCAUGAUAAGGUUGUAAAACUCCAAGAUCAUUUUCAUAUGUAAUGUUGUCGAGCUAUCAUGGCAACAUGAUUCUGUAUCUUUGCAUUUCAUUUUUUCUGCCUAAGUGUAGUAUCUUACAUUUGUCCUUGCUGAAAUUAAUUUUGUUAGUUAUGGACCAGCUCUCUAAUCUGUUAAGGUCGUUUUGAAUUCUGAUCCUGUCCUCUGGAGUAUUAGUUAUCACUCCUAAUUUGGUGUCAUCUGCAAAUUUGAUAGGAACACCCUCUAAACCUUCAUUUAAGGCAUUAAUAAAGAUAUUGAACAGCACUGAGCCCAGAACAAACCCUGUGACACUUCACUAGUAACUUCUUUCCAGGAUGAAGAAGAACCAUUGGUGAUCACCCAAUAGUUUCAAUGGCUUAACCAAUUACAAAUCCACCUAAAGGUAGUAUUGACUAGUCCACAUUCUACUAGUUUGUUUCCAAGAAGAUCAUGGGGGACCUUGCCACAUUCCUUCUGCUAAUAACAUUUGUAAAAUAGAGCAUUAAAUAAACAAUUUCAGGAUUCAUAGUCAUGCAUUUACCUCAAAUGAAUAUAAACAGAAGGCCUUAUUUUGUCUUUUAUAUGAGAUGUUGAUAACAGAUAAAUAAAUCUC